rnacentral:rRNA from 1 species
CUUAAAUUGAAGAGUUUGAUCAUGGCUCAGAUUGAACGCUGGCGGCAGGCCUAACACAUGCAAGUCGAGCGGAAACCAGUUAUCUGACCCUUCGGGGAACGAUAACGGGGG